GCGAGCAGGGAGGGGGCCGGGCAGGGGCGGCAGAAGUGGCACAGCUGCCAGGGGAGUAGGACUAGGGGUGCGCCUCCACGCGCCGCGGGGCUUGGAAAGGACGCGCGGCCCCCGCCCCCCGCGGCCCCCGCGGCCCCCACCGGGCCGGGCCCGCGCCUGCUGCCGGGCUCAGCGCGAGGAAGGGGGCGGAGGAUGGCGGCGGAGCCAUGGAAACUGUGCCGGGUGGAUAAAUAAGGAGAGGGCCGCCCGAGGCCGUCCCCAGGCUGCCAGCAUCUCGGCGGCGGAUGCAGCGCUCUGGAAGCGCGGCCGAACUCCUACAAGUUUUUCCUCCCGCCCUGCAGCUCCGGGCUGGGGAAGUGGGCGCUUCCUGGAGAGGCAGGCCCCGGCUCGGAGGAAGGCUGGUGGUGGAGACUGGCCCCGGGGGAGGGGAGAGAGCUGCGAGGUGUGGGGCAAAGGAGAGUGUGAAGGUGACUUCGGGCCUCCCGAGGUCAUCGGCUGUUUGUUACCAGCCCGAAUGACGGCACGAGGCCCUGGCGGGUUCUGGCAACCCGAAGAGCCUGGGGAAACCUCUAGAUUCGUGUUCAGAAAGAUGGAUUCGCCCAGUUCAGACACUCAGAACUAACGAAGAGCUAAACCUUGGCGAAAAAACAGCCUUUUACCCUCUUCCUCUGAAAUAAUUGUGAAAGUUCUCCGCUAGAGCUUCGGUUUCCAGAGAACGCUAGAUCCUCCGGAUGUCCAUAGGAUGGGGGGAAACGAAGCCUAUAAAUGAAAUACGAUGUCAUAUACUGAAACCAGGGGGUGUACCUGCAUCUGGAAGCUAUCAAAAUAUCACAAAGACAGCACAAUGAAUAUGGUUAAUUAAAGGGAUAGACACCAUGGAGGUUAUAACAAAAUCACUAUUGUUCAAUAAAUAUUUUAUUGGCAAUACUUCUUGUUUUUUAGAGAGCUGGAAAACUGUAACAUGGGUGGGAUUUCCAAGCGCAUAGAAAUGAAACUAAUUUCAAGAUGAGACUGACUUCACGUGCUCAGAUGUUUAGGGGAAAGUAGUUUUCUCUCACCUUGCUUAAAUUACAGAAGGCACUUUAAGGACGUGUCGCGCAUCCCUUCCUGCUUUCACAUCAUGUUUCUGCUCUAAGUCAGCGGUUCCCAGUUGGUGGCUGAAUACCCGCUCAGGGACACUGAGUUAUUGCAAGGGCUCAGAGUGCUUUACAUACAACAAACACUUUGUGUAGACUGAGUAAUAAAAUGACUGGCAGAGAAAUGGACUCUGUCCCAGUGUAUGUGUUUGUCAUUACUUAAUAAACUACAAAUUCAUGUAAAAGCUCUCUAAAUUUAUAUUGUCACUUUGUCCUUAUGCAUCUUUUAAAUCAAUGAGUAUUAGAAACACAACUACCAUCUUACGUAUGGAGGAGGGCAGAAAAGAAGAGCCAACUCUAGGUGAGAAGCUCCUCAUCAAUUUGGCAAAGCAAAUUCACUCUCUCGCCUUAUUCCGUGUAACAGAUAAUAACUUUUUUUUGUUUUAUUGUAUGUAUAUGACCUAAGAGAUAAAAUGGUGCCGGGGAUAAUUCAGUGCGCUCAUCGGAUUUGUCUUAUUAUUUGGCUACCAGAACUGGUGUCCUGGGCAUACCUUCCUUGCUACUUUUUUAUACUUACCUAAUCUACUCGCUGUAGUGUCCAUAGCCAAGAAAAGUUUUCACUAUCUGUGCGCACUAUCAGACAUGAAACACCCAGGAUCUGAAUCCCUGUGGGAACUUUUUACAAUAAUGGAAACUUAAAAGUGGGUGGUGCUGGGGGCCAGCCCCGUGACCAAGCGAUUAGGUUCACCCGUUCGGAUCCUGGGCGUGGACAGGGCAUUGCUCAUCAGGCCAUGCUGAGGCAGCAUCCCACGUGCCACAACUAGAAGGACCCACAACUAAAAAUAUACGACUAUGUACCGGGGGGCUUUGGGGAGAAAAAGGAAAAAUAAAAUCUUAAAAAAAAAAAAAAGUGGGUGGUACUUAGAAACGCAAAUGUUCAGAGUAUCUCAGAAGGCUCUCAAUACAGAGUAAACGUUUAUUCUCUAAAUUUCUGCUUGCUCUUUGUACGCUCUCCCUUAGCACGGUGUCUUUUUCUUUUUAAAAGGUACUUUAGUAUUGGAUUGUUACAGCCAGCGGGCAAGCAGAUGGCAUCACUGCUGAGAGAGGUUCCAGCAUGAAGGAUGAUGCACUGAGCUCCCAGAUCAUAAUUGGAGGUGGGAUUAGGUGGAAGUCUUGUUUGUUAAUGAAUCCUCUUCAUUUCAUUUAUUCUCCGAUAAUUAUUUGCCGCUGAACGAAGCCCUUCCUCUGCACCUGGUGUAUUACAGUAAUCUUCACAACGAAUCUACUCUUAUUCUUCCAUUUUACGGAUGAAGAAUUUGACACUUAAAGCAGUAAAUAAUCUAAGCAGCCAGUGAGUGAUAGACUUAGAAUCUGAACCUAUGUGUGUGACUCCAAACCCUUAACCAGCACAGACUACUCAUUCCUUCUCAGAGAGGAAUUUAAACUCAUGGUGGGCCUCCUCGCCAGCUCUUGGGUCCAAUGCCUUAAGCACCUGCAUUUUCUUAUCUUUAGAAAGGCAAGAAUGACUGUAAACUGAACCAAAAUAAAGACAGCUGUUUCCUUGAACCAUCCAUCAUUUGUCAGUUCCUUUAUCGCUUCCCAGCGAAUAGUAGGUUAGUAAGUGGCUUAACUGUUACCAAGAUGAUGGGCACAUUCUAUGCACAGAUGGCACUGGGCUAGUUCUAACUUAACCUAAUUACUCUGGCCUGUCUAACUUUUCACUUCUAGAAAUAGUCAUCAAAAAAGGGAAGACUUGGAAAGACUUAUUUAGGUCUUCCUACCUUAAAGAAGAGGGAAAUUAAUUCUGAGGCAAAUGAGUCCUAGUUUUCCUGUGGAAAGGGAGAUAUUUAUUAUUUGUCUAAGAAGAAGAUAAUUAAGAGGAUAUUGCACACAAUAGCUAUUAAGUCAGUGAGGACAUGUGGAAGCUGGAGGAUCCCACUACUCAACACAUAUGGUGGCUCAAAAAAUGGGGCCUCUUCUUGGUUUGACUUCGCCCCUCGCCUCUCUUGAGUGCUUUGAGGCGGAACCCACGCUCUCACCUCCUAAACUCUUGUCACGACCCCAGGCUGUUUUACCAUCAGCUGAGGACUAUCUGGUGGUUUUCCUCAGUGUACCUCUCAUUUUGAGAUGGAUGGAGAUGAAGCCUUUCUAAUCCAGUAGGAUUGUCUGCCAGAAAUAAACUCUUCCCCCUCUCUCAUUAGGAAGACAAAACCCAAAUGUAGGCAGUCGGAUGGGCUGACACCUUAAAACAUCUCCCGUGUACUGUAUAAACUGUCACCAUUCCCUUGGUACAGAAAUAAGGGGAAACCUCUUAUAUUUGGGAGUGGGGAGGAAGGGACGUGUCUCGGCAAGGCCAGCAACAGUGGUUUCCAGGCCCGAG
rnacentral:lncRNA from 1 species